ensembl:lncRNA
AUGUCCUCCAUGUCACCCUCUCUCUGUGUGUGUGUGUCUGUCCGUCUGUGUGUCUUGCUGUCUCUCUCCUCAGGUGAAGUGUGGAGUGACAGGGCCCAGGGCUGCUCUUUCUUUCACCUUCUUGUCUCCAAAGUGCCAGGCGUUUCACGCAGGGUGAGAGACGUUACUGAGGUGUGUGUUAUUCUUGUUGUCGGCCUCCAGCCGGGAGCAGGAGUCAGCACAGCUAGUUACAUACACAGCGCCAUCAGCCUGUCAGUCAAGUCAGGAGUCGAAGAGUUACUGAGAGUUCAGUCCAUCUGUCUUCUCUCAAAUAAAGAGAGACUCCCUGCAAAUAUGUCUAAUCUUCCUUACCUCUCUUUCAUAACCAUCACUUUUCCCUCUCUCUGUGGGACAUGAUACGUUCGCUCCGUCAACUUGAGGCUUAUCGCUGUGUAUAAAGGGUAAGAAAACACUGGGAUGUUUGGUUUCUAAUAGGCCUGUGUGGUGUAAUUGGCUAAUUGCUUUAUUUUUCUCUGAAGGGUUCUGUGUUCUGUCAUAGAGGCAGGAGGCCAUAAACACAUAUGAGCUUCUCCCUCACUGUCAAGGAUUUCUGAGUUGUAAUUGGCUGAGAGCUGCACUGUCAGCUGAUUGGCCGGGCUGAGGAUGAAUGGCCACGCUGACAACCAAUGGGGCCAGAUGAGGGUGAGCCGGGUGAGAUAUGGGACACCGCAUUCUUGAGCACUAAUCAAAUCUUAGAAAAUUUCAAUGAUGGGUAUGUGUUAUGUUUGUUGAUUUGCCUUCAUUAGUCUUUACAAUGAGUCCAUGUUCUUAUGCAUUUUGUGCAUGUGAUGAAUCAUGUUGAUAGACGUCUGUAUAAAUCCUCAAUGUGUAAGAGUUUUUUUUUUGUUUUUGUUUUUUUUGCCAGUGAGUGAAUCAGUUUGUAUCAAGAGUUCAUAUGCAGGUGGAACCAAGACAGGCCUCAAAAGAUUCAAACACAUUUUGCAGCAAGCUAAUAAAGUUUAUACUGAAGAGGUUCUGGGAUCAAAGGUCACCUACUGCCCUCUACUCAGCAUCCCCUCACCACUCCAACAGGAGUGCUGAAAAUAACCUGUGAUGGAUGCAAAUCUGAACAUUUCCCUCAUUCCCUCCUCCUUUCUUAGUCUACCUUUCUCUGCUCAUCAGACCAUCUCUCAUCAUCCCUAAUAGUCCAGAUGAAGAUGGAUAUGGACAGUCAGUUAUUUAUGGAUUAGGGGCGGAGCUCUGAACCUCUCUUGCCAUUUUUUAAUGUCCUGAAAAGCUUUUGGGCAUGUUUCACAUUACCAUUAUUAUUUUCUUUUUUUCUUUUUCUUUUUUUUUUACAUCUCCUUGAACUUUUUCUUUUUUGAUGUAUUUCUUAUAUAUAUAUAUAUAUAUAUAUUGUUCAAACAGGGGUCGGGUUUCUUUGUUUCUUUUUUUGGAAAGAAAUUAAUACUUUUAUUCAGCAAGUAACACUUUCAUUGAUGAAAAGUGACAGCAAAGACAUUUGUAAUGUUACUGGUCACUUACAACUUGUGUUUUGUAGAAAAGAGCAACUAGGACAUAAAUAUCUCAUGAAAAUACGUCAUUUGUUGUUCCGUGGAAGCAUGAAAAGUUUGAAUUACAUUUGGGUGAGAUAUGAUCAUUUGGUUGAGUUAUUCCUUUUAUGUAAACAUACUGUACAAACAUUCAGACGCCUCAAUGUUCUGUAAGAAACUGUUUCAGACGCACACGCACACAUACUGAGAGACGACAUGUCUAGUGGUCUGUGAGGCGGAGAUGGACAUGGUGUUCUGUCGUGUGGGUAGACACACGUCCUGGGACACAGGAAUCAGGAGGGGGUGUUUUUGUGCUCUGUUUUAGUCAGCUUCCUCUCUGUGCCACAGAACUUCCUGUGUUGGUUCCGUGAAAGGAGGCCCACCAGUUUCCCCCCAGCGGAAUGAGUGCGUGCCUGUGCACGUGGGUGCUCAUCUUACAUAUUGUAAGUCACUGCCACCUACCACACUCAGCAUUCUCUUUCUACACCCUGUAGUCAUUUAGUCUGCUUCAGUAUUUGUCUACAGGGUGUGACUGCUAUAAAUGUGGCUACUUCAGCGUGGUUUUGGUACCAGUGCAUUGUAAGCGACUAUGUUGUUAUUUCUUAGAGAUAAAAAUAUUUUGUAAAUAUUUUACAAAAAUUGCUUCAGCUUUCAUAAAUAUUUUAAUUAAUUAAUAGUACAUGUUAGUUAUGAUAUGUGACUAACAUGCAGAAUAAAAAAGGAAAUUAUAUCAUUUUGCAAUAUCAUAAAAUUUGACCUUUAUGUCAUG